CCCAGACUCCUACGGGAGGCAGCAGUGGGGAAUAUUGCACAAUGGGGGGAACCCUGAUGCAGCGACGCCGCGUGAGUGAAGAAGUAUUUCGGUAUGUAAAGCUCUAUCAGCAGGGAAGAAAAUGACGGUACCUGACUAAGAAGCCCCGGCUAACUACGUGCCAGCAGCCGCGGUAAUACGUAGGGGGCAAGCGUUAUCCGGAUUUACUGGGUGUAAAGGGAGCGCAGACGGCUGUGCAGGUCUGGAGUGAAAGGCGGGGGCCCAACCCCCGGACUGCUCUGGAAACUGUAAAGCUGGAGUGCAGGAGAGGUAAGCGGAAUUCCUAGUGUAGCGGUGAAACGCGUAGAUAUUAGGAGGAACACCAGUGGCGAAGGCGGCUUACUGGACUGCAACUGACGUUGAGGCUCGAAAGCGUGGGGAGCAAACAGGAUUAGAUACCCGCGUA
rnacentral:rRNA from 1 species